rnacentral:rRNA from 1 species
UGCAGUCGAGCGGACAGAUGGGAGCUUGCUCCCUGAUGUUAGCGGCGGACGGGUGAGUAACACGUGGGUAACCUGCCUGUAAGACUGGGAUAACUCCGGGAAACCGGGGCUAAUACCGGAUGCUUGUUUGAACCGCAUGGUUCAAACAUAAAAGGUGGCUUCGGCUACCACUUACAGAUGGACCCGCGGCGCAUUAGCUAGUUGGUGAGGUAAUGGCUCACCAAGGCAACGAUGCGUAGCCGACCUGAGAGGGUGAUCGGCCACACUGGGACUGAGACACGGCCCAGACUCCUACGGGAGGCAGCAGUAGGGAAUCUUCCGCAAUGGACGAAAGUCUGACGGAGCAACGCCGCGUGAGUGAUGAAGGUUUUCGGAUCGUAAAGCUCUGUUGUUAGGGAAGAACAAGUACCGUUCGAAUAGGGCGGUACCUUGACGGUACCUAACCAGAAAGCCACGGCUAACUACGUGCCAGCAGCCGCGGUAAUACGUAGGUGGCAAGCGUUGUCCGGAAUUAUUGGGCGUAAAGGGCUCGCAGGCGGUUUCUUAAGUCUGAUGUGAAAGCCCCCGGCUCAACCGGGGAGGGUCAUUGGAAACUGGGGAACUUGAGUGCAGAAGAGGAGAGUGGAAUUCCACGUGUAGCGGUGAAAUGCGUAGAGAUGUGGAGGAACACCAGUGGCGAAGGCGACUCUCUGGUCUGUAACUGACGCUGAGGAGCGAAAGCGUGGGGGAGCGAACAGGAUUAGAUACCC